UACGAAGGGGGCUAGCGUUGCUCGGAAUCACUGGGCGUAAAGGGUGCGUAGGCGGGUCUUUUAAGUCAGGGGUGAAAUCCUGGAGCUCAACUCCAGAACUGCCUUUGAUACUGAGGAUCUUGAGUUCGGGAGAGGUGAGUGGAACUGCGAGUGUAGAGGUGAAAUUCGUAGAUAUUCGCAAGAACACCAGUGGCGAAGGCGGCUCACUGGCCCGAUACUGACGCUGAGGCACGAAAGCGUGGGGGAGCAAACAGGG
rnacentral:rRNA from 1 species